rnacentral:lncRNA from 1 species
AUUGGCUUGGUGUUUAUGGAUGUGAAGUCAAGCACAGGUCUGCAGCAGGUAAAAAUUUCUAUCAUUCUGCAACUGACUGCAGCCUUAGGUUUAUAAUCAAUGCACACAGCAUAUGACAGUAUGGAUUUAUGAUUUGAUUGGUGUUCAUGCCUUGGCUUGUAGGCUGGCUAAUGUAGCAGGUGGAUCACUGGCUUAUGGAAUGGUUUUGACAGUUUUGCUUGAACUGGUGUGAACAUGGUUGGUUGUUGUACAAGGCUGAGCUGCUUGUGAUGAUAGCUGCAACAGGUAUAUCUGACUGAAUUGUUGCUGUUACUAACUGCUGAGUCUGCUUUGUUGAAGUGACCAAAUGGCUAAUUGCAGGUUUUGCAUUGCCUUGCUGCUGCAGCUUGAAACGAGUAUGGUUUAGGUUUGCUCUCUAGUACCCCAAACAGGUCCUGCUUUAUUGCAGGUGAAGCCUUGUUUCACUUGGUCUAUGUGUGUUUUGGACAGGGUUUGGUAAAUGUUCUGCAGGCUCUGCUGCAAGUUUCUAUUCAUACUUGGUGGUUCCCUUAAUGAUGCUCUGAACUGCAGGGCCACAACCAGGCAUGUGCCAAAUA